GAUGAAGAACGUAGCAAAAUGCGAUAAGUAAUGUGAAUUGCAGAAUUCAGUGAAUCAUCGAAUCUUUGAACGCACAUUGCGCCCGCCAGUAUUCUGGCGGGCAUGCCUGUUCGAGCGUCAUUUCAACCCUCAAGCACAGCUUGGUGUUGGGACUCGCGUUAAUUCGCGUUCCCCAAAUUGAUUGGCGGUCACGUCGAGCUUCCAUAGCGUAGUAGUAAAACCCUCGUUACUGGUAAUCGUCGCGGCCACGCCGUUAAACCCCCACUUCUGAAUGUUGACCUCGGAUCAGGUAGGAAUACCCGCUGAACUUAAGCAUAUCAAUAAGCGGAGGA
rnacentral:misc_RNA from 1 species